AUACGUAGGGGGCAAGCGUUAUCCGGAAUUAUUGGGCGUAAAGAGUGCGUAGGUGGUUCUACAAGCCUUGGGUGAAAGGCUACGGCUCAACCGUAGUAAGCCUUGGGAACUGUAGGACUUGAGUGCAGGAGAGGAGAGUGGAAUUCCUAGUGUAGCGGUGAAAUGCGUAGAUAUUAGGAGGAACACCAGUGGCGAAGGCGACUCUCUGGACUGUUACUGACGCUGAGGCACGAAAGCGUGGGUAGCGAACAGGAUUAGAUACCCUGGUAGUCCACGCCGUAAACGAUGAGUACUAGGUGUCGGGGUCGCGAGGCUUCGGUGCCGUAGCUAACGCAUUAAGUACUCCGCCUGGGGAGUACGGUCGCAAGACUGAA
rnacentral:rRNA from 1 species